UCCUCGCAAAAAAAACAAUGAUGUUUGACUGUGUUGCAAACAUCCAGAGGAAUGCACUGAAACCCACCAUGACUAUAUAAACGAUUGUUUACAGGGGCGAAUCACGCCGAAUGCUCCGUAAAAAAUUGAUAGAGAUGGAAUUCACGGCACAAAUAGUUUACAAAAUGUUUAGAUUUAGGCUAUAAAAAUGGAUUUUAUCAAAGAAAACGGCACUUCAUUUGUUCAAUGAGAUACUCUGGAAGAGAAAUAAGAGCAAGAUAUCAGAAUGGUGUAAGACACUUGCAUUUUCAAGAAUGUUUAAAGACCAGUAGAUGUCAUGCUUGAUCCCGGUCUUGGCUGGAGAGUGUUUCUGAUUAAGUCCACUAGAUGGAAGUGAUGAUCCAUACUCGGGCUCCUGCUGAUGCUUUUUUCUUCUGUAAAGCGAUCCAAAAAGUUACAGGCCGGUGGUGGCUGGUCCCCUGCAAGAAGGUGAGGUGCCUGAGGUCCCUCCGCCCCCUCUGGACAUCGAGGGGUCCCCGGCAUACACGGUUCGGGGCAUUCUGGAUUCGAGACGCCGGGUGGGGGGCCUACAGUACCUCGUGGACUGUGAGGGGUACGGUCCGGAGGAGAGAUGCUGGGUGCCGGUGGGGGACAUUUUGGACCCUUCUCUCCUGAGAGAUUUCCACCGCCUCCACCCGGAUCGCCCGGCACCUCGUCCUCCAGGUCGUCCUCGAGGCCGGGGUCGGAGAAUAAAUUGACAAU
ensembl:lncRNA